AUUGAAGCUCGAAUCAAGACUUAAAUCAAUGCAUGAACACAAAUUCGUAAUCACCUAAGUGUGGGGAUCGAAAGUUUGUCGCCUAACGAGCUAGGUGGAGGCUUGGGAAAGAAGCGGUCAAACGAAUCAAGCAUGAGAAGAAAAAGCGUAUUCGGAUGCGAGGUACUUUGUGGAUGCCGGAAGAAGAUCAGGCUCAACGAAGAACCGAACACGAAUAAGACACAUGCUUCCGCACUUGGCCUCGUCAUAAAUUUUAAAUGACGAAUCUGAUUACGUUAUGUCAAAUAACUUUUGAUUUGCGAAAAGUUUUAA